rnacentral:rRNA from 1 species
AUCACUUUUUUACUAAAGUUCCAACGGUACAAGAUGAGCAUGCGUCCCAUAAGCUAGUUGGUAUGGUAACGGCAUACCAAGGCUAUGAUGGGUAGGGGUCCUGAGAGGGAGAUCCCCCACACUGGUACUGAGACACGGACCAGACUCNUACGGGAGGCAGCAGUGAGGAAUAUUGGUCAAUGGUCGCAAGACUGAACCAGCCAUGCCGCGUGCAGGAAGACGGUCCUAUGGAUUGUAAACUGCUUUUAUACAGGAAGAAACCCUCUCACGUGUGGGAGCUUGACGGUACUGUAUGAAUAAGCAUCGGCUAACUCCGUGCCAGCAGCCGCGGUAAUACGGAGGAUGCGAGCGUUAUCCGGAAUCAUUGGGUUUAAAGGGUCCGUAGGCGGUUUAAUAAGUCAGUGGUGAAAUCAGGUCGCUCAACGAUCAAACUGCCAUUGAUACUGUUAGACUUGAAUAAUUGUGAAGUAACUAGAAUAUGUAGUGUAGCGGUGAAAUGCUUAGAUAUUACAUGGAAUACCAAUUGCGAAGGCAGGUUACUAACAAUUUAUUGACGCUGAUGGACGAAAGCGUGGGGAGCGAACAGGAUUAAAUACCCUGGUAGUCCACGCCGUAAACGAUGGAUACUAGCUGUUCGGCGCAAGUUGAGUGGCUAAGCGAAAGUGAUAAGUAUCCCACCUGGGGAGUACGCAC